UGCUGUCAGGAUGAAGCCUUUCCAAGAUCUGGUACCAGUCACAUCGCUGGACUAGUCCUGCAUACGGGCAGAUAACCCCAUGCAAUGACUUGAUCAGACCAGUAGCGGUAACACAGUUACUUCAGCUGAGGGGUGAGAGCAAGGCAGCGAUGUGGGCCCUGGAGCAGGAGAAAUGUUGGGUUUGGGACUUGCAGUUCUUAGAGCAGUGCAGUA